rnacentral:rRNA from 1 species
UUACGGGAGGCAGCAGUGGGGAAUAUUGGACAAUGGGGGAAACCCUGAUCCAGCCACGCCGCGUGAGUGAUGAAGGCCUUCGGGUCGUAAAGCUCUGUGGGGAGGGACGAACGUCCGGGUGAAGAAUCCGGGGUGACGGUACCUCCUUAGCAAGCACCGGCUAACUUCGUGCCAGCAGCCGCGGUAAUACGAAGGGUGCAAACGUUGCUCGGAAUCAUUGGGCGUAAAGCGCACGUAGGCGGCUUCAAAAGUCGGAUGUGAAAUCCCUCGGCUCAACCGAGGACGUGCAUCCGAAACUGUGAGGCUUGAGUACUGAAGAGGAUCGCGGAAUUCCCGGUGUAGAGGUGAAAUUCGUAGAUAUCGGGAGGAACACCAGUGGCGAAGGCGGCGAUCUGGGCAGAUACUGACGCUGAGGUGCGAAAGCGUGGGGAGCAAACAGGAUUAGAUACCCCGGU